GCGUUUAGCUCAGUUGGCUAGAGCACCUCCCUUACAAGGAGGGGGUCGGGGGUUCGAGUCCCUCAACGCC
rnacentral:tRNA from 1 species